UACAGAGGUCUCAAGCGUUGUUCGGAUUCAUUGGGCGUAAAGGGUGCGUAGGCGGCGCGGUAAGUCGGGUGUGAAAGUCUCGGAGCUUAACUCCGAAACUGCAUUCGAUACUGCCGUGCUUGAGGACUGGAGAGGAGACUGGAAUUUACGGUGUAAGCGGUGAAAUGCGUAGAUAUCGUAAGGAAGACCAGUGGCGAAGGCGGGUCUCUGGACAGUUCCUGACGUGAGGCACGAAGGCCAGGGGAGCAAACGGG
rnacentral:rRNA from 1 species